ACUUCGGUUUGGGUGGCGGACGGGUGAGUAACGCGUAAAGAACUUGCCUCACAGCUAGGGACAACAUUUGGAAACGAAUGCUAAUACCUGAUAUUAUGAUUUUAGGGCAUCCUAGGAUUAUGAAAGCUAUAUGCGCUGUGAGAGAGCUUUGCGUCCCAUUAGCUAGUUGGAGAGGUAACGGCUCACCAAGGCGAUGAUGGGUAGCCGGCCUGAGAGGGUGAUCGGCCACAAGGGGACUGAGACACGGCCCUUACUCCUACGGGAGGCAGCAGUGGGGAAUAUUGGACAAUGGACCAAGAGUCUGAUCCAGCAAUUCUGUGUGCACGAUGAAGUUUUUCGGAAUGUAAAGUGCUUUCAGUUGGGAAGAAAAAAAUGACGGUACCAACAGAAGAAGUGACGGCUAAAUACGUGCCAGCAGCCGCGGUAAUACGUAUGUCACAAGCGUUAUCCGGAUUUAUUGGGCGUAAAGCGCGUCUAGGUGGUUAUGUAAGUCUGAUGUGAAAAUGCAGGGCUCAACUCUGUAUUGCGUUGGAAACUGUGUAACUAGAGUACUGGAGAGGUAAGCGGAACUACAAGUGUAGAGGUGAAAUUCGUAGAUAUUUGUAGGAAUGCCGAUGGGGAAGCCAGCUUACUGGACAGAUACUGACGCUGAAGCGCGAAAGCGUGGGUAGCAAACAGGAUUAGAUACCCUGGUAGUCCACGCCGUAAACGAUGAUUACUAGGUGUUGGGGGUCGAACCUCAGCGCCCAAGCAAACGCGAUAAGUAAUCCGCCUGGGGAGUACGUACGCAAGUAUGAAACUCAAAGGAAUUGACGGGGACCCGCACAAGCGGUGGAGCAUGUG
rnacentral:rRNA from 1 species